GCCUUCGUAGAGGUCCACCACUACGAUAUCCUCCUCCGAAUUGUCCUGAUCAACCGCACCAAGAAGACCCUCCCCAACAUCAACUUCGAGAUCCUCCCCGGAGGCAGCC
rnacentral:SRP_RNA from 1 species